CCUUUACGUUCACCAUCACUUGUAAGUUAAUUCUGAAUGUGUGUUAAUGUUAGCAAUGUAUAACAACACUGUGAUGUGACAGAGAGUGCUCUACCACAUUAGCAUCAAGUACCGGUAAUUGAGGUAAUUAUUAAUCCAAUUAUUGUGGUUUAUGGAGCACUUCUGCAUGUCCUUUGUAUAGUAUUGUUGUUGUUGUUGUUAGUCUAUUUUUGUGUUUUGAUAGCUGCAUGCCAAUUUAUAGUCACAUGUCAAUGACAGUAGGAUAUGAUUUGUCACUGUCAGCAUCACAGUCAUAGGGAGGCAGUGACACUAGUGUAAAGGAAGUGUCUCCACUUUAUAGCGAUGCUUGGGAAAAAUCGACAGCCACCACCUCUCUCUUUACAACAGCUUCCAAGGAUAGUAGCUAAAUAAUAGUUAUAAAAUAAAAUUUUAAAAUAAAUUUACUAUAAUUUUAGACACACUGCCACUCUCAGUAGUAGUGUUUCAAGAGAAACAAAAUGAUUGCUGACCAGAAUGAUUAUUAGAUAAUUGUGAUAUAACAUGUACUUAUGCAUACAUUAUUGCCUGUAAUGUGUAGCAUGUCACCUUUAUGUGAUUGCACACACCAUGAUACUAUAUUUAGAAGUUGUAAGUAUUUUCACUCCCAUAUUCACAUUCAGUUGCUCUUAUUUGAUUUGAUUAUAAA